GUCACUUGCUGAUCUCAGGGCAAGAGCUGAGAUGGAACAUGAUGGGUGGAGCUGUGCCAUCGGCUCAGGUCCGGCUCACCUGAUAGAACUUGAUUCCUGCCUUGCUAUUAUUCUCCACCACAGGAAGACAAUGGUUGUAUUUUCCAAAUGGCUGCAACAAAUCUCCUAUCGUACAAGCUCUUCUUACAGUGUGGCUUUGGCACUCCUCCCAUUGAGACAGGCUUUUGUGACUGGAUCAAGAGAGUAUGGAAAAGUGACAAUCUGUGACUUCCAAGGCUAGGUAAGCAAAAGGAAAAGCACUUUUUCUACCCUGUUCCCUGGAAUACUUGUUCUGGAAGCCUUCAGCCUCCAAGUAAGCAGUUUGACUGCUCCGAGGCUGCCAUGCUGUGAGG